GACGGACGCUGGCGGCGUGCUUAACACAUGCAAGUCGAACGGAAAGGCCCUGCUUUUGUGGGGUGCUCGAGUGGCGAACGGGUGAGUAACACGUGAGUAACCUGCCCUUGACUUUGGGAUAACUUCAGGAAACUGGGGCUAAUACCGGAUAGGAGCUCCUGCUGCAUGGUGGGGGUUGGAAAGUUUCGGCGGUUGGGGAUGGACUCGCGGCUUAUCAGCUUGUUGGUGGGGUAGUGGCUUACCAAGGCUUUGACGGGUAGCCGGCCUGAGAGGGUGACCGGCCACAUUGGGACUGAGAUACGGCCCAGACUCCUACGGGAGGCAGCAGUGGGGAAUAUUGCACAAUAGGCGGAAGCCUGAUGCAGCAACGCCGCGUGCGGGAUGAAGGCCUUCGGGUUGUAAACCGCUUUCGCCUGUGACGAAGCGUGAGUGACGGUAAUGGGUAAAGAAGCACCGGCUAACUACGUG
rnacentral:rRNA from 1 species